rnacentral:rRNA from 1 species
AUCGAACGCUGGCGGCAGGCCUAACACAUGCAAGUCGAGCGAGCGGCGGACGGGUGAGUAAUGUAUGGGGACUGCCCGUUAGAGGGGGAUAACGACUGGAAACGGUGGCUAAUACCGCUUACUGUCGGAUAACCCAUAUGGGAUUGGCUAGUAGGUAUGUUAAUGGCUUACUUAGGCGACGAGCCCUAGCUGGUUUGAGAGGAUGAGCAGGCAAACGGGGACUGAGACACGGCGCAGCCUCCUACGGAGGCAGCAGUGGGGAAUAGUGGACAAUGGGCGAAAGCCUGAAGCAGCCAUGCCGCGGGUAUGAAUAAGGCCUUAGGGUUGUAAAGUACUAUCAGUCGGGAGGCGUUACCGGCAGAAGAAGCACCGGCUAACUCCGUGCCAGCAGCCGCGGUAAUAC